AUACUCAGGUUUCUCUUCGGAUGGAAUAAAUCUGUUGCCUUUUACUAAAGACUUCUUUGGAGAUGAACAACUAUGAGUUUAAACUCAUUUUUGAGGUCUAAUAUUUGGAAAAAGAA